rnacentral:rRNA from 1 species
AUUGAACGCUGGCGGCAGGCCUAACACAUGCAAGUCGAGCGGAUGAGUGGAGCUUGCUCCAUGAUUCAGCGGCGGACGGGUGAGUAAUGCCUAGGAAUCUGCCUGGUAGUGGGGGAUAACGUUUCGAAAGGAACGCUAAUACCGCAUACGUCCUAAGGGAGAAAGUGGGGGAUCUUCGGACCUCACGCUAUCAGAUGAGCUUAGGUCGGAUUAGCUAGUUGGUGGGGUAAUGGCCCACCAAGGCGACGAUCCGUAACUGGUCUGAGAGGAUGAUCAGUCAAACUGGAACGGAGACACGGUCCAGACUCCUACGGGAGGCAGCAGUGGGGAAUAUUGGACAAUGGGCGCAAGCCUGAUUCAGCCAUGCCGCGUGUGUGAAGAAGGCCUUCGGGUUGUAAAGCACUUUCAGUAAGGAGGAAGAGUUGAGUGUUAAUAGUACUCAGCUUUGACGUUACUUACGGAAGAAGCACCGGCUAACUCUGUGCCAGCCGCCGCUGUAAGAC